GAUGAACGCUGGCGGCGUGCUUAACACAUGCAAGUCGAACGGUGAACGAGGGAGCUUGCUCCCUCCGGAUCAGUGGCGAACGGGUGAGUAACACGUGAGCAAUCUGCCCCGAACUCUGGGAUAAGCGCUGGAAACGGCGUCUAAUACCGGAUACGACGCGCGAAGGCAUCUUCUGCGCGUGGAAAGAAUUUCGGUUCGGGAUGAGCUCGCGGCCUAUCAGCUAGUUGGUGAGGUAACGGCGCACCAAGGCGACGACGGGUAGCCGGCCUGAGAGGGUGACCGGCCACACUGGGACUGAGACACGGCCCAGACUCCUACGGGAGGCAGCAGUGGGGAAUAUUGCACAAUGGGCGCAAGCCUGAUGCAGCAACGCCGCGUGAGGGACGACGGCCUUCGGGUUGUAAACCUCUUUUAGUAGGGAAGAAGCGAAAGUGACGGUACCUGCAGAAAAAGCACCGGCUAACUACGUGCCAGCCGCCGCGGUAAUAC
rnacentral:rRNA from 1 species